AAAUAAGUAAGCUAAUUAUAAGCUUUUAGGUUCAUACCCUAAAUAUAGAACAUUUAAAUCUCUUAUUUA
rnacentral:tRNA from 1 species